rnacentral:sRNA from 1 species
GAGCAGAGGGGCAGCUCUGCUGGAGAGACCUGAGGCUUGCAUCGCUGGGCCCGGCCGGGUCGCUGCGGCUGGGCUGGAGGAAGCAUCUAACCAAGAUUAAGUCAAAGGCAUCUACCAGGUCCUGAAUUCUCUCCCAGAUGCACACCUUUUAAGGUCAAGGAUGCAUUCCAGGAAAGUUCUAUAAAAAUAUACCAUCAACUCCAACCUGAUAUUUGACCUAGCCAUGGAAAACCUCAUUGGCUCCUCACUGGAUCAGACCAUAAAAAUGAUCCAGGAAUGAAAAUCUAAGAUAAAUUCCCACCACUUCAAGAUGUUCUUAUACAAGUCAACAGUCUAGCAGAUCAGCCAGUCUCUUUCAUCAUCAAGCAGACAUACUCAAGGUACCAACACAGCAAAGGCACAAAAUGUCUCUAUAUCAGUAUUUUUCAUGGUAUAUGUGAGACCCAUUAGUGAGGCAUGAAAUCAAUUCUGUGAGUCACAAUGAACAUUUUUCUAAAAAACAAAAUAAAAUGUAAAAUACCAAA